AGCGAACGCUGGCGGCAGGCUUAACACAUGCAAGUCGAGCGGGCAUCUUCGGGUGUCAGCGGCGGACGGGUGAGUAACGCGUGGGAACGUGCCUUCUGGUUCGGAAUAACUCAGGGAAACUUGAGCUAAUACCGGAUACGCCCUUUUGGGGAAAGGUUUACUGCCGGAAGAUCGGCCCGCGUCUGAUUAGCUAGUUGGUGGGGUAACGGCCUACCAAGGCGACGAUCAGUAGCUGGUCUGAGAGGAUGAUUAGCCACACUGGGACUGAGACACGGCCCAGACUCCUACGGGGGGCAGCAGUGGGGAAUAUUGGACAAUGGAGGAAACCCUGGUCCAGCCAUGCCGCGUGAGUUAUGAAGGCCUUAGGGUUGUAAAGCUCUUUUAUCCGGGACGAUAAUGACGGUACCGGAGGAAUAAGCCCCGGCUAACUUCGUGCCAGCCGCCGCCGUAA
rnacentral:rRNA from 1 species